rnacentral:rRNA from 1 species
UUAGGAAUUUUCCGCAAUGGGCGCAAGCCUGACGGAGCAACGCCGCGUGAGUGAUGAAGACCCUUGGGUUGUAAAGCUCUGUCGGAGGGGAAGAAAUAAUGACGGUACCCUCCAAGAAAGCCCCGGCUAACUACGUGCCAGCAGCCGCGGUAAUACGUAGGGGGCAAGCGUUAUCCGGAUUUACUGGGCGUAAAGCGCGUUAAGGCGGCCGGCAAAGUUGGUGGUGAAAGUUCAGGGCUCAACCCUGAAAUUGCCUCCAAUACUGGUUGGCUAGAGUGCGAGAGAGGAAGGUGGAAUUCCCGGUGUAGUAGUGAAAUGCGUAGAUAUCGGGAGGAACACCAGUAGCGAAGGCGGCCUUCUGGCUCGUAACUGACGCUGUAGCGCGAAAGCGUGGGGAGCGAACGGGAUUAGAUACCCCCGUAGUCC